rnacentral:tRNA from 1 species
GGGGCCGUAGCUCAGCUGGGAGAGCGUCGCAAUGGCAUUGCGAAGGUCAGGAGUUCGAUCCUCCUCGGCUCCA